rnacentral:lncRNA from 1 species
UGGCUGCCGGCUCCGGCCGCUGCGGCCGCCGCUUUGCCCAGGGGGCGCAAGGAGCUCUUCCUGGUGUUCACCAUGGCCCCGGGGAGGGGGACACGGGGGGGCCCCGCCGCCGCCGCCGCCGCCGCUGUUGCUGCCGCUGCCGCCGGCGCGGAGGGAGGAGGGAGGGCGGACAGGCGGGGGCUCGGGCAGGGAGGGGAAGGGAAGGGGAGGGGGAAGAAGGAGAAGUCCUCUGGGGACGCCGCUCCGCCGGGCAGAGACACCAGACAGAACCGCGCCGACUCCUCCCGCCGCUGCCGCCGCCUCCUCGGCUCAGCCCCGCACUAGCCGGCCGCCAUUACUGCCCCUUCUCCCUUUCUCUCCUCUCCGCGCCGCCACCCCGGCUGUUGCCGCGGGGGGGCGCUGCGGCGCCGCCGCCGCCGCGCGCAGGGCCGAGGCGGCCCCCGCUGCAUCCAACAGUCACGUUACAGAGGGCCAAAGAUUUGUAUCUAUUACACUACGUCGGAUGCCUGAGCGCUUUUCAAACUGUUCACAAACACUGACGUGCAGCAAGAAAUCCUCCUUGUGCCACCAGCUGCUGGCCUUCAUUGAACUGAGACACAACGCAUUUAUUAGAAAAGAAGAUGAAUGUAACCAAAACUUAUACUGAGAAGAGGCGAGGACAUCUGCUGUGGCAGGUACACCACUGACAAAUUGGAAGACCAUGAAAAAGUGCUUGAGAAGAAUCCCUUUUGCUCAACGAGACUUGGGGAAUUAAGUCUUACUGGGACUCGGUGACAUAAAAAGACAUUAAAAGAUGAGCCAGGAUAAAGAAGAAUGGAAAUCCUUGUUUAUUCCAUAAGUAAGAUUUAAUGUCAUGGGAAAUACUUGGAGAUGGAAGAUUCUGUUGCCACCUGUUCCUGUUUUAUAAGGAAAUCAGGAACACAUGAUAACAAAAGAAAAAGUGCUUCAUCAUUUAUUAGAACUUUUGUAGAGACUUUCAUCCCAGUAGGGACCAGAGGGCUUUUUUCAGUGAAAUCCUAUUUGCUUCAAUCAUAGGCAAUUUAUCAGAGAUUACUUUGUAAUAUCUCUGAAUAGCUGUAACAUUCCAAAGAAUGGAAAUUAAAUCAUCUUUUCAGGACUCUACUUAUAAGCUCUUGUGUGCUUCUUUCUGUCAUGCUGUCAACUCAUCCUGGUUUCAGCUGAAUCUCAAAAUAAAUAGAUUCAGAAGAGAUUAUGCUUUUGUACGUGUGCUCUAUGUCCUUUCUUGAAAGAAUUUUAGGAAAUUGAGAUGGAAUGGCUUCUCUCUUGAGAACUGUCCACUGUGCAAAUAGGCCCUUGGGAAACAUCAAACGAGGGCAUGCUAGCCCGGAUUGGUCCCACCUUACACCUGAACACACAAAGUAAGUCCCUCCACAUUGCACGUGCUUUGCAGUGAUAUUAAAGUGACCCAUUCUUAAUAAUAACGUUUUAGAAAUUAACUUUGAAUGUUCGGUUCUAAUGUUCAGCUGAAUAUUGCUUUCCAAACUACGAUAGGUAACAUAACUGCAGCUUGAAGUGGUAUCAGAGAGCAGAUUUCUUACAUGACGUUAAAUAGGAGUGAUAAGAACUGCCUCCUGAUAUUUCAAAAUUAG